AAACCGGAGCUAAUACCGGAUAAUAUUUCGAACCGCAUGGUUCGAUAGUGAAAGAUGGCUUUGCUAUCACUUAUAGAUGGACCUGCGCCGUAUUAGCUAGUUGGUAAGGUAACGGCUUACCAAGGCAACGAUACGUAGCCGACCUGAGAGGGUGAUCGGCCACACUGGAACUGAGACACGGUCCAGACUCCUACGGGAGGCAGCAGUAGGGAAUCUUCCGCAAUGGGCGAAAGCCUGACGGAGCAACGCCGCGUGAGUGAUGAAGGUCUUCGGAUCGUAAAACUCUGUUAUUAGGGAAGAACAAACGUGUAAGUAACUGUGCACGUCUUGACGGUACCUAAUCAGAAAGCCACGGCUAACUACGUGCCAGCAGCCGCGGUAAUACGUAGGUGGCAAGCGUUAUCCGGAAUUAUUGGGCGUAAAGCGCGCGUAGGCGGUUUUUUAAGUCUGAUGUGAAAGCCCACGGCUCAACCGUGGAGGGUCAUUGGAAACUGGAAAACUUGAGUGCAGAAGAGGAAAGUGGAAUUCCAUGUGU
rnacentral:rRNA from 1 species